rnacentral:snRNA from 1 species
UUGGUGGAUGGGCACAAGAUAGU